rnacentral:misc_RNA from 2 species
AACGCACAUUGCGCCGAUUGGUACUCCUUUCGGCACGCCUGUUCGAGCGUCAUUUAAAAACUCGGAGUAAUCCGGUUAUGGGAGUGUGAUGCAUUCCCGAAAUAUUCCGUCGUUAAGAAGCUACCGCGGUGAAAACGUGGAGGCACCUCGACGAAAACUUACUCGUACCUUUGACCUCGAAUCAGGCGGGGAUACCCGCUGAACUUAA